GUUGAACGCUGGCGGCAUGCCUUACACAUGCAAGUCGAACGGCAGCACGGGAGCAAUCCUGGUGGCGAGUGGCGAACGGGUGAGUAAUAUAUCGGAACGUGCCCAGUCGUGGGGAUAACGUAGCGAAAGCUACGCUAAUACCGCAUACGAUCUAUGGAUGAAAGCGGGGGAUCGCAAGACCUCGCGCGAUUGGAGCGGCCGAUAUCAGAUUAGGUAGUUGGUGAGGUAAAGGCUCACCAAGCCGACGAUCUGUAGCUGGUCUGAGAGGACGACCAGCCACACUGGGACUGAGACACGGCCCAGACUCCUACGGAGGCAGCAGUGGGGAAUUUUGGACAAUGGCGCAAGACCUGAUCCAGCAAUGCCGCGUGCAGGGUGAAGGCCUUCGGGUUGGUAAACGUAGUACUUUGUUACGGUAACGAACGGUAGGAG
rnacentral:rRNA from 1 species